UUGUGUCCCCGCCCAUCCCCUCCCUGUGGAGGGAGAGUCGCCUGGAGAGUUCAGUGGUGGCUUGCUUGUCGAUGAAUAUAUCUACAUAUUUUACAGUUUCCGUUGUGCUAACAAGGACAUCACCACGGCGAAGAAGACAAGCCUAGCGUGAAGACUAGUUAAGAGGAAGCUUUAGCUCGGGCCCAACUCUGAUGCCCAGUUUCGAUUCAAAUACAUCUAAAACACAUGUAAAAUGCUUUUCUGGGAUAACCCCUGGACCGAUUUCAAUAAAAUUUUUUCACUUGAUGAACGUAAUAAAGUUUGCGUUCUUCACUUGUGAGAGAAAGUUAAAUUCUAGUGACUGUAGGAAGAGGAAUUUUGAUUUUGGGCCUGCAUUUCUUAUAAGAAUUUUUAGAAGUUUGCAAGUUUGCAAAAAAUGGCAUGAAGUUUACAAAUUCGUAGCUCUGCACCAAGAACAGAUAUGGUAAUUUUGUAAACUGCAUCCAUUAGAUCAUCCAAGGUGGACAAAUUUGAUAUGUCAAUUUAUAUGUUACGUGAAUUUGUUACAUUGUUUACAAGGGUUUUGUGUAAGCGCUACUAGCAUAUUACUAGUUUCUUUUUUAGAGCACCGAUUAAUAUAUCAAUUUUGUUCGCUUUAGAUGUACUAUUUACAGAACUGUGAUAUAUUUUGUCGUUGCUGAGUUAGAGUUGUGAAAGUGAUAGUAUCGUUUUCUGAAAAUUUGCUGCUUUGACCAAUUUUGAUUAAAAAGUUGACGGCACAAAUAAAAAAUUUGUUAGCAACAGUCACCAGAUUUUCACUUUUUCUUUUAAAUGCGACAAACCUCGUCAAAUUUGGAGCAGUGGUUGCCGAGGAAAACGAUUUCUCCUUUCUAGUGCAUUUAGAUAGAAGCCCCCGAGCUAAAGCUUCCUCUUAAGUGCUGAUGAAGUUUACGCUUUUCGUGCCUUCUUCGCUGUUGUGUGAUACAAACUGUAAAGUAUCAACUCACGCAGCAGUGUGCAUUACAUUUACUUGGCAUAGCCAGCUUCUCGGCCUGUGAACUGCAAAAACCAGUGUCGACGCAGCAGCAGCUCUUGCAAGACUACCUUUAUUUCCUGAAAUACACGGGCUUAAGUAGGUAGGAUGGUGUUGCUUGUCGGCACACGUGUGAUGAGCUUAAAUCGAAGAACAUGCGCAGUGAAUGCGUUGUCGAGCCAGUCCAUGCAGUUAUUACAUGUACUGACAGUGCCAAGGACUGUCAGGUUUGACGACGCACAGUUGCUGUUGGGACAUCUCGUAUAUUGGCAGAAAUACUGUGGAUUGCGCACAUAAACACAAGUUUACUUGCUAUGUUUGCAUGGUGUAACUGGUGGAGAUGAUUGGCGACCUUAAUGCUUUUAGCAAUAUCUGUUAUGAUGGGUGCGGUGGGGAUGUUUUAUACGUUGUGAUUAUUAUGCAGCAACUUUCUUGAUUAUGUGCAGCAACUUUCUUGAGGGAAAAACCGAAGCUAGGGCGCCUUGCCUCUCCACGAAAGAAAGGGACCAGUGGUGUUGCUUUCCUGUGAUGAGCACUUCCAUAAUUAAAAUGUACAGCAUCAAAAACUUGCAUUUUUUUUUUUUAGUUGCGAAGGAAGUCAUGAGUGGUAUUUCAUCACUUUCAGAGCAGAGGGAAUCACUGUCACAAGUUUGUGUCCUCAUAUUUGAAUAUAAUGUGCAACUUGCUACUCGCAGUGUUUGCACCUUUUUUUUUUAAUCUGGCUGAGCACCCCAUGGGUUGCUGCUUGUAUCUCUGGUUUGGCCAUUCUUUCUUAGUUGUGUGUGUUGUCUGUGUAUUUGAAAUUUUUAAAGGUGAAAGGCUGUUGAGUAGCAGUAACCAGAGUUUUUAUUCAUGCUUCUAAUUGAAAAUAUUGAGAGAAGCUAUUGCGAACUUGGCGUCAGUCUGUGCAUGGAGACAGGACUGUCUGUUGUUGCAAAAAUAGGAAAAAGAAGCACCUUUUGACAAUUUUUGUUGUAAAGUCUUUUUAAAUUUAUAGGCUUUUUUGACUCUAGCUUAAAGGGACACUAAAGAGAAAAAUUAUUUCUUAUGUAUCAGUAGAUUAGCCUUCCCCAAUACCAAAAACGCCACUCUUGCUGCAAGAAACCGAUUGGUAAGCCAGAAAGAAACGAAAAACACAGAAGGCGAGUGGUGACCCCACCUUGAAGGUCCCACGCCAGGUCACUGUGACGUCAUGGAUUUUGACAGCCUCUUCUAGGCCCCAGUUAAUUCUUUAGUGGUAAAGAUUGACUACAUUGUGUUCUAAAGGAGCCCAAGAAUGAAUGUGGCAAGUUUCGCGAACUUUUAGGGAGCCAAUGUGGCCCAAAUACGAAAAAUUACUUUAGAAUUCGUGACAUCGCACUGAAAUGCUGACGGGGGUUCCGCGCGAAAUUCAAAAAAUUAAAUAUUGAACUUCAUUUUCUCUUCUAAUAAUUGACCAAUUGCAGUGUAAUUUACGACAGCAAAAAUUUUGAACAAUAUUUUAUCAGUCUAAGUUGAUUUAUUGUUUUCCUUUAGUGUCCCUUUAAGCACGAGAGCUGGCCUGAAAAAAAGAAACAGAAAAGUAGGUAUAAAAUGCUCAAGCAAGAUUGAGUCCCUUUCCAGGUAUAAACAGCGCAACUGCCCAAUUAGAAAGAACAAAAAGAAUGUGUAUAGCUUUAGACACUGGGGUUGUAUGAUGUGACAAUUUGCUUUUCCUGGAUUUUAUUGUUUUCCCGUCGCAUGCUGUGCCAACUGGCCACUUCUGGUAAUAACACAGGCGUGACACCAUUUGUCACGAGUGGGAAAGCACAGAAUGGAGUGUAAUUGGAACUGAAUUCUAAUAUUCUGGCCUCAGAGACACCUGUGUAUGUGUGUGUGUGCUUCUAGGCGUUACUUAGCUCCUCGUGACUUUGUUUUCAUUGACUGCCCAUGUGCUGCUUGCUGACAGAUGCACAGGUUUAUUGACAGGUCAGUAGUUUCUUGGCUGUUUGUUGCACAGCCCUAGCGGUCUUGUAUAUUAUUGCUUCUUUUUUUUUUGGGGGGGGGAGGGCAUUUGACUAAGCAGAACUUGCGUGAGCUUUCAUCUUGUACAGAUAGAUGUCAGUUGUGGUGUGAGAUACUGGAAGUUCACCAGAUGUUAAACGUUUGAAGUACAGGCCACACUCCUUCUCAUCAUGUUUUCUCCCCCAUCCAAUUGAAUAUGCACCAUAAGCAAGCAUGUAGAUAGUACAGACAUUUCCUCGGAGAGGAGCUUUAGGAGGAAGGGCUCAGUUGUUGCUGUGCAUGCUCUAGCACACUGGCUUUUUUUAAUAUGGACUACAAUAGUUUGCAUGCGCGAAGACUAUUGGAGAUCCCUCAUGGCAACUGAAUGAAGCCCAUCGUACGGAGAAAGAAGGGAACCUAGUAAUAGAUGGGACUGGGGAAUCUCUGUGCAGUGGACAAAUUCCUAGACACAUGCAAUCAGUCAUAGUACUCUUGCCAUGCAACCCGCCCAGGGCUGCCGCUAUGUACAAGCUUUUCAAGCCCCUCCUUCCCAAACUACUGUGGCUAUACAUGGUCACGUUCACGACCAUGUAUUCUCUUUCUUAGAGGCAUGAAGCGAAGGGCCUCCUCAUUUGAUGACCGCGUUUGAUUUCUGUGAAAUCAUGGCCUCGUAGUGUUGCUGCCAUUCAUUGCUGCCGCUACAGAGUGUCACUGUAUUCCAGCUGCUGGGAAAACAAGCGAGACCUGUGUGCAUUGUAGAGACACAAGCGUCUAAAGAAAUUAGAAAAAAUCUUCCUCUUGCCUCAUCACGGCUUCGCGCCGCAUUCGUUGUUAGCUCACUUUGUUGUGCUGCUGUUGUACGCCGCAGUGUUCAAGAAAACUGGCAGGCUGGCUGAUAGUCUAUGGUUGAGGCUUCUCUGGAUCUGAUAAUGAGCAUUAAAGCUGCAUCUUGGCUACUUGCCAAUAUAUAUAUUUUUUUGCAAAGUGUGAAGAAUGACAAAAACAUUUCUUGUCUCAUUGGCCUUGUAGUCCCGUAUAGGCCCGUACAAGCCUGCGUUUUUUAUUACUUGUUUUGACUAGCGCUUCUAUACAGGUCUUUGUCUAGACCCUUUUGUCUACGUGGCAGUAGCCAUGUGUUUUCAGCCCCAGAGAACUUCCGGUUGCAUCUGUUUAGCAGUUAGCGUUGUAGGGAGACAUUAGCUUUAUCAUAUGCUCUACUGUAAUAUGUUUCUUGAUGCGAUCAAAUGUAAGAAGUAUGUGCUUCCUGCCUCAAUUCCUUGUACGAAUGAAAAGGUUAUCGUCUACCGGAAAGUCGCAUGAACAAUCUGUUUUUAUGGCUUAGCUGAACUGAGCACCCAUUGUAAUGAGAUGAAAUUUGCCUAUUCUUUGGUACUACUUAUCAGUGCACCAAACCAGUAGCUGCUGAGCAGAGGACGUUGCCUUGCCAUUGCUGCAGUGACAAGUGUCACAGGAGCCUCCAUCAUUUGCAUUAAAAUCUGGCUUAAACAGACAGUCUCACCCGUCGUACACUGGCUGUGGCGUUGCGCUGCUGAGCUCGAGGUCGCAAGUUCGAUCCCAGUUGCGGUGGCUGCAUUUUGAUACGGGCAAAAUGUAAAAAUGCGAGUGUACUUAGAUUUAGGUGCACGUGAAAGAACCCCAGGGGGUCAAACUUAAUCCGGCGUUGCCCACUAAGACGUGCCUCAUAAUCAGAUUGGGAUUUUGGCACUUAAAACUCCGGAAUUUAAUAAAAGCGAUUUCAGGCAUAAUCUCCCAAGAGAGCGCAGUAGGGUAUCUCAGAAUUAUUGUCCCAGACGUUGCAAACACAUGCACUGUUGCAAUGUGUAGACCGAGCUGACUGGUAGAGGUGCACCAGCAGUUCAGGUCACUUAGUAAAAUUUGUUUUCGAAACUAUGGGACUGCAGACUGCUAAUUAUAUGGGACACAGAAUAAACCAGUAUUGAAUGACUGAGCUUGCCACAGGCAUUGAGUGGCUAUGGCGUCCUGCAGCUAAGAGUGAGAUCAGUUAAACGAUCAAAUUACACUGUAUUAAAGGACUCUUGGAAUGUGCUGUUAACUUUGUUUCCUUCUGAAUUUAGCCGGCAAUUCCAGAAAGCAAAACUGGAAGUCUCCUAGGGUCUUUGUUUGCAAGCAGUGAAAGGGUCUACAGGCUCAUGAUUUUGGUCUUUUUAUUGCUGUUCGUGGUCGGAGUCAUUUAUGGCCUUGUACGGGCCUGUAUAGGUUUAAAUGUGCCUACUGUUUUUCAAGCUUAUUACUGACCCCCUUGCAUUAUACUGAGGUGGUUGUUGCUUCUCUGUGACUGUCAGUUGGUCUGCUGCCAUUUACACUUUUGAUACGGUUGGUUUGUGGCACAUUGAUGGCUCUGCUUGGCAUUAAUGCGCAGUGGCAGUGGUGCAAGGUUUGAGAAAAUGCUCUAUUCAUAGAUGCUGAUGGUGUCUGAAAGCAGAUCUGAAGUGUUAUUUGUGGCUGGUGCCAAAAUUUCCAGGCAUAGAUCUCAGUGUUGUUACUAUUUUAAGAAUUGUGUGUUAUGUGAAAAGGGAUCUUAAUUUCCCCAAAUUUACAAAUUCUUUUCUUUGUAGAGAGCAAAUUUCGCAUGCGCAAAUUGCCAUGUCAACUUUUAUCGCAUUGACUGUUAAAACUUCACGCAAGGGUGAACUACAGUGUUGGAAAAUGACAGCAAAGACUGGUGGGCAUGGAACUCUUGUCUGUGUGUUACCAUUUCUUAUUCUUGUUUUUAACUUGAAUCUGCACUAACUGGCCACAAUUUGUUUAGCUUUGGUUGAAAAAAAGAAAGUCCAGUGAAUUCUCAGUGUACUCUGCACACUUUCUCUUAUGGAUUAUGCUCAGUGAGCAUGCUUUGUGGAUGCAUUGGCCUUCCUGCUUGCCUGGUAGAGCGUUGUAUCAAAGUGUGACAAAGCGUACAGUACUCGCAGUACUUAAAGGAACACUAAAGGAAAAUUUUAAGUCAAGCUGCAUUGAACUAUUAGGCAUCUGGGGGUAAUAACGAAUUUGUCAUUCACAGCGACAAUGGAGCUUUUGUGAGUGAGAAAACGACGAAAAUGGAAAAUCAGAAUGGUGUUGCCUGUUUUGGACUAUGGUACCUCUCGUGCAACAUCAUAUCACGGACUGAUUCACAGAGUGUGGCAGAGCGGAAGGUCACAUGGAGUUUGUGCCACCUCAUCCAUUUGGAUGGAUAGAUGGAUUCAAAUUACAGAGCAGCAGCAGGUUUUUUGGUGGUAAUUUUCUAUGCAACAAGGUCGUAUAAUAUUGGCACUCAGAGAAUGAUGAUAGGCUUCAAGACAAAUAAUCUAUUAAUGUAACUCAGCUUUACAUAUUUCGUUAAUGUCCCUUUCAGAUGUGUAAUGCUAGAGACCAGUCUUUUGGUUCGUGUGCAACGAUAGUGCAUUGUGGUAGACAUGACAGUGACAGAUGGGCUGUGCUAUUCUUCGUACAUUUACUGAAUCUUGCACAAAUCAGGAGUGCCAGGUAUAAACGAAUCUGUCUGCUGGCUUGUUUGCCCUCAACUUUCACAUACAGGUGCCAUUUCUCCAUGCAUGCAGUUUGAUACCACGUAUGGGUGCAUUACUUGCUUGUUCUGUCCAGAUUAAAUUGGAAGUAUGUAUUGUCCGCGGUGACACAAGACAAAGAAUGAGGAGUUUUUGUGAACAUAAUGGUGCUGCCAUUGCUCAUUGUAGUGGUGAAACAAAGUGCAGGCUGUCCUUUUCCACUGUGCAUUGGCAGGCGACAUGACUGUUCUGUUGCAGUGAAAUCGACACUUUUUUCUCUUGCAUCGCCACAGACAGUUGCCUGCUUCCGAUUUAUUCUGUGCAAAGCAAGACAUGUAGAAACAGACACGUAGCUGACCCAUUUGUGCAGCAUUUGGUAUUUGGGAAAUGCUGUGGCAUGCCAUGGCGGCAGAACAUUGGUCCAACACGCUUGAUGUGGCAUACCAUCAUCCGCUGUUGUGUCUCCACAGUUGUCUCUUUGCUGUGUGUGCACUAACACUCUGGCCACAGUAAUGUCCACAGCAUGAAUGGUGGUGCCACGUGACAUGCUAUACAAUAGCAGAACAGGCACUUUUUUUUGUUAUUGUCUUUGGUACCCGAAUACCCUCUGCACCAGCUGUCUUUGUUCCUUGGUGCAACUGAACUGAUGCAUCCACUGUCACUGCAGGAGUUCCGAAUGUAAGAGCUGUCUGUACUGACUGGAGCUUGAAGUGGAAUUGUUUGGUAUAAUUGUGCGAAAACCAACCGUAUCAAAGGGCAGUUGUUAAAGUAGGCGAUAAUGUGCGGCUUUUGUUAUCUUGACACGGUAACUUCCUUCAGACCUGUUCCUUGUGCAGUGGCUGCCUUAUCUAGCUGCUUUUUUAUAAAUAUAUGUAUACACACCCAGCAUACCAAUGCUGGCUUACUGCUGUUGUGUGAGAAGACAGUGUUGGCUUGCCACGUGUGAUUGAAGAAGCGUAUCCCACAGGGCGUCGCACUGUUUGACCUUUGUUGUUUACUUGUUGCUGAUGUGUAGUAAUAGCAAAGUUGGGACAUCCAGUCACUGCUUGCUAGGGGCAUAUCGUUGCUUCAGAAAAAAUGUAUGUUGAGGCCUCCGACCGUUUCAAUGUUUUUUUUUGUUUUUGCAUUUGUUAGUAUACACUGAGGUGUGUAUUUUUGCCCUCGCCACUGCUGAUUUGCUCAUUUGACAGUGCCACUGUGCUUUUCAUGUCAUGCACAGUAUAACUGUUGUGUCACGGAGAUAAAUGGGAUAAAGAAAUCCUUUGUGUAAUCGCUCUUCUGGCAUAGCUGCACAGAUUUGUAGCUGUCUAGAGUUUCCAUUGCAUUCACUAUGUCAUUCUUGCACCCAUAGCAGGAUUUUACUUCAUAUCGUACCUUGUUGAUUUGAAGCUUCAGCAAGAAACAGCAGCACCAACUAGGGGCGUGGUGCUUUUGUCUCUGUGUUGCUGUUUCCUGAAAUGUGCUUCACCUUAAAUCCAUGCGGAGUGGCCAUCCUACUGCUACUCUUCCUUUUGCCAUUUUUUUGUACAUGUUUGAGAAAGUUUUACUGGUCAUCUGUCUAACGACGUAUGGUGGUGGUGCCCAAGGUUUUAAUUUUUUUAGCACUUGGCAGCUGUUUCUUUUAUGCUCGAAGGUUGCGCAUUGCAACGAGGUGGUCACUCUCGCUUUACAUAACCCGUUCAUGAAGCCUUUUGUGCUGUCUUAUUAAAGUGCUAGCCGAGUUUGCACAACCACCUCAAGCUACAUGGCACAGUGUUUGCGCUGUCACAAGGAGUUCUUUGGUGUGACCUCAUUGCUAUGUUUGGAGGUCUGCAGUUAUUUUUGUAUUGUUUUUAAAGUCUCCAUAAGGUUGUUGCUUUUUUUACCUAUGUGUACAAUUUUUCUUGCGAUUCAUCACUUGCCCCUUUGGAGGGUUGUCCCUGCAAUCAUCUAUGCCUGAAGGCAAACAGGCGUGAUCGAGCCUUGUUGGGGAUGCAUUGUGAAAAAAAAAAGUGUUCAAACAAAGUUCUGGCACAAUGUACAAUGAUGUUCACAUGUCCUCACUCAAAAGAAGUGUUCAUGACUGUUCAUGAAAGUAGGCCUGAGAGGUCAAUUUGUUCACUUAGAAUGUGCCUUUGAGUUUUACCUGUCCGAUUCAUGUUUGUGUUCUAUAUCUUUGUGCUCACGUGGUAUCCACUUGUCACAUUGUAUACUAUGAAAUACCGAGCAAGUCUAUCCCCCAAGGGCCAGCCUCUCAUAGAAACACGUGCUCAAACAUUGCCGCAGCUGGUCAUUGCCAUAGUAUUGGCAAUACCUCUUCAUCUGGCUGUGUCGCGAAGGAUAUGAGUGCUGAUGUCAGGUGAACUGUGGGUCCAUUUACCAACAUGGCAGUUCUGCUCCAUCUUGAUGCUGAUGCAUGGGUCAUGACAUUCCGAAACAACUGUGUUAGCUGUUUGCAGCUGCUACUGUUGCUGCUUUUUCUGUUGUGCCUAGUGAGUCUGUGGUACAUUAGUGAUUGUGAGGGAUGACGUCUCUCAUGAUCUCUAGUGCAUCGUGCAGUGCAUGCACAUUGUGUCGUGCAUGUGUAAUAAAGCCCUUGUAGAGCCUACGAGCCUUUUUGCUCACUCUUCGGUUUAACGGAGUGCUGGUAAUGCAAUGCGAGGCUCUAUACACGUUUUGGUGUCGCACACACCGAGCAGGCUAUUGGACUGAGGCCUCCCCGGCAGUACAACCUUGAAGGUGCAUCUGUGUGAAAAGGCACGUGCCGAACAUGUGAUGGAGAACACAUGUAUUGUCUGCUUUUCGCAAUAUUUGUGUGGCUCAUUUGUUCUCUAAGGGAGAAAUUCUUACAAGCUUGUUAGAGAGCCUUGGAAAUCAUCGUAUUGAGAAGUGCCGUUUAGCUGGAAUGGCAUGUCCGUGCGGGGACGGGGCACUUGCUCGGCAUUUUGUGGUAGUCAUGACUGUUGCAGCAAUUUUUGUGAUCGGUGGCACUGUUGACAGACUUGUUUGGUUGUCGCUCAGGAAGCACGUACGCCAUUGUUUAUCUUUUACGCACGCACAAUGUGCUUUUAUUCCCUUCGCAUACAAUUGUAUGCUUACGAGUGGUUUUGUUUUUUCUGCCUUGUAACAGUGCGCAUAUUGCGCCACUGAAAUACCAUGAACAAAUAUGUGUGUCAUUAAAGGGAUCCUGUAGAGUGAAGAUCGUCAGUGUACGGACGCACUUUCUGUCCGGACUCUUUGUCUCAUCGUACCGUACGAGGAGCGAGACUGGCCAGCUGGGGCAGAACGUGUUUGUUCAGACACUUGAAAUGUGUUUUCGACGUGUUUUCGGUGCUCGGCACGCAGUGUGAUAACCACGCUGUUGACUGUGUCACCUUUGACUGGUAACUACACGAAGCAAUGGACGCCGCCCCAAAAAUAUGUCAAAUUCGUUCCAAGCGAGAGUGCCAUUCUGGAUGUUGUCAAUUCGCCAUCUUGUCCACUCUGAUUGGCCUAGAGGGCUGCUAUGGGCUCUCCGACUGGCUCAAAAUGCCACCACUGCAGAAUAUGACAAUAUGGAGGAAUUUUAUGGUGUCCAGAAUAGCACUCCGGCUUAAGCACUGCCAGUGACGUCAGGAAGCCAGAAUCACUACGCUGGGCCGGGAUAACAACUAUACCAGUCUGUUUUUAUUCCAAAUCUGCCAUCAGCCAUCCGUGAUAGGUCAAAAUGGCUCUGGUCCAUGGGCAGGGCCCGAGCCAUUCACACCUAUCACGGAUCGUUAAUGGCGGAUUUGUAAUAAAAACAGAUCGGAACAUCAUCCCGACCCUGACUUGCGUCAUUGCUUUUGCGAGUGCAGACGAGAGUACGGCGGCCGCUUUGGUAAGCCUCGCAUAUGCGUAGCGUUUCUGGCCUCCGUUCGGCCACCGAGGCUUAUGCGGCAGCGAGCAUAUGUCCUAUCUGAAGCGCACCCCUGGUCAAGAAAAGCCGCUGCUGCACCCCUUUAAAGAUCGUUCACUGCAUGGAGUAGUCUCGAUCGUUGAACCAAGAGGGCUUAGCAAGUAGCAUCGUGUGUCUGUGGCACUAUUUUUUUUGCACUCCCCCCCUUUUUCAAAUGAUCCUCUUUUAGUCAUUAUGCAGUUAACGUGUCUGUUAUUUUUUUUUCCCUUGCUACUCUGGAUGUGUGUGGCGUUGCGCAACUCCUGCGGCGAGCGUCUCGCCAUUCUAACGCGUCUCUGGCCAUAACGGUUUUGUCAGCAGUGUUUACGAACGUUCCGAACGUCGGCAGACAGCGCUAUGAACGCGCAUGCACGUGUGACAAAUGUGGACCCCUUCUAUGGAAAAAAGUUUACAAACCACAGCUGUCGCAAAACAAAAAAAAAAAAAAAAAAAAAAAAAAAGACGUCUCCGCAGAAUGCAAGUUUUCCAAUCCCACACUACCUUCAUGCAGCCCAAAACUCCACGCAUGACCGAAGCGAUCAAUCGGCACAUUCUGUGUGGAGCAGUCCCAUGAUUACUCAGGUUUGAUCAAUAUAUCCAGAGGCUUCUAAAUUGCAACAUCGCCGCUAUAGGCGACCUGAACAGGACGCGGCGAUGGCUGUGGUUAAUCGCCAAAUGUUUCUGCGCACUUUUCGCGAUGACUGUAGUACUGCCAAUAUAAAUUGAAUCGCGAACAAAUCCAGACGGACGAUAUAGAAGAGCUCCUUUCAGAUUCCGCGUGUUUAGUUUGCGAAGUUCCGGUGCAGCGAUAGGGUCGUGUAAUCUUCGUGUUGCUGGUCCGCGUCGCGGAAAUGCCGGAAACACGACACGUGUGUUAACGUGCUUCGAGCCAGAGGCGCCUGUCGCAGGAGACGCCGCUACAUGCGCUCUGUGUGCAGGGAGAAUACAAAGCGUGGUGCAUUAUGUAGUGUUGGGCACGUGAAAAUGCUCUUGGGCACGUGACUUGUCGCGGCGGGUGCGUUGUGGGAUGCGCUUUUGCUGAACGACGCUGUUUCUGGUCUGUCACGUUUCUCACUGCUUUUGUCCUUGCCAUGCUGCUGAGCGAUGCUUCCACCUGUUAUUUUGAAGGCCUCCCCUUUGUACACAUCGCAAAUACAUGGUUACUGUAUAAUAAACGAGAGACUGCUCCAAUCUGUA